rnacentral:rRNA from 1 species
UACGUAGGGUGCGAGCGUUGUCCGGAAUUAUUGGGCGUAAAGAGCUUGUAGGCGGUUUGUCGCGUCUGCUGUGAAAAUCCGGGGCUCAACUCCGGACUUGCAGUGGGUACGGGCAGGCUAGAGUGUGGUAGGGGAGACUGGAAUUCCUGGUGUAGCGGUGGAAUGCGCAGAUAUCAGGAGGAACACCAGUGGCGAAGGCGGUGCUCGUGGGCCGGAACUGACGCUGAGGAGCGAAAGCGUGGGGAGCAAACAGG